CAGAGCCUCUAGACUAGAGCAUAAGAGGACAGGGGCAGCCGUCAUCGCUGUGACAGCCAGGUCCCGUCGUCGCACAAGAUAAGUAAGUUGCGUGGGUGAGGUGUCUAGGACGCUGACAUCUGAAAGCACCAUUUUCUCAGGUCUCCUGCCCGCCGCUGAACAACAGGUUCACCAACGCCAGCCAGGAUAUAAAGCAAGAUACUUAGGAUAAUUUAUGAAGAGCAAGACUUACACGCUGCAAUGCAUCAUCAUGCCUACUUUCACAGGUCAGAGCAAAGCACCCACAUUGAGUAAGGUCACGUUCUGUCUGUACGUCUGACAUGCAUCAUCAUUGCUGUUGAAAUUGAGACUUUUCAGGACAUCACUUGCACAAAUGAAAGCAUUACCAUUAAGCAAGGCCUACCCUAACAUUUGGGACUCUGCAUCAUUAAGUUACUAUCUCGACCGUCAGAAUGCUGACAGCGGCAUCUUAAAAGAUCCCGUAUGGAGAGUCCGCUUUCUGGUGCAGUAUUUGUCUGCUUUUCAUUUGUAGACAAUAUAAUUUGGUAUAGAAAUUCAUCACUUCAAGAGGGUCAUCAUUGGAUAAUCAUUUAAGAUUCAACCCUCAGAGGAAGGACUGUACCAUUUAGAUGAAGAUCCAUCCCCAACAGCAGCAGCAGGCCUAGCACUGAAGGAUUCUUCUGAGGGAUCCUGGAUAGAGGAGGAGUCACCUAGCCUUUACAAUUUGGAUGGACUACCUCUGAUCAUUGCUAAGGAUAUUGAGAAUGAAGGUGUUGGCAGUGAAGAUUGCAGGGGCUGGGAUUUAGUUGAGAUAAGGGGUAUUUUUAGCACCAGUUUCUGAUUUUGUCAAAAACUUUCCAUGAGCUUGUUACAAAUGACAUAACAGGGAGGAGGUUCCUAGAUGGUAAACUUCCCUUCCUCUACUUACUGUAGUUUUACAAAGGCUACAGAUGGCUAGUCAAUUGUCAGGAUUUUGGUAAAAAUAAUUCUACAUACACUGUAAGAGGUGGAUUUGUUUGUCCUAUGCCCAGGCAUUACAAUGGUCUUCUUCCUCUCAUGACCAAGAGCUGCUUCCACUAGUGCCUGACUUACACAAACAACAUCCUCAUCCUCAACAUCCUCAUUAGCACUGGCAUCUAGUACACAAAUAUCCCCCUCAUUCUCUUGCAGUUCCAUGGUGGCAUCUUCAAUUUCUAUGUCAUCAGCUAUACUUCUGUUGCUCAUCGCCAAAUUUGCAGAGGGUGCAGAAAUGGUGGAAGGUGGGUUCUCUACAAGUAAUAUAUCAGAGAGGUAGGGCUCUUAUAUAGCACUCAUGGACACACUUAGACUGUUCUUAGGGACUUCUAGCUUUUCUGAAUGCACAGUUUGUUCUACUGCCUUAGUGAUUUUAUUUUUUUACACCUCUCUUAGAUUCUGAGUAAAAAAGGUCUGCAUCAUCAUGGGAGGCAGUCUAUGUCUCAUUGACAGUUGCAGAACCACCAGUAAUAAAAAAAGGCCUGAGCUUUUCCUUGCCACUGCAUAUGGUAAAUGACAUGUUGCCAAUUUUAUGUUUUUCUGCCCUACAUUUUCCUUUUAGUAGAGGUAUUUUUUUCUUUGCCACUGUCUGUUUUUUUUUUUUUUUAGUUGCCCUGAUAGCGCUGGCAACCCCAGAAGAUUUCCGGACAUACUACUGACUGAUUCCCCAAGGACAGUCGUGCAGCAUGCAUGGUGCCUAGGAAUCAGCAUACUCUAUUAUGGAGUUUAGCCCAUCCCCCGGACACCUAUUGGCUGCGGGCGGGCUUAGCUGUAAAAUGGCUUAUGCUGAUUGCGGUGCCCGGGAAUAAGCUCUGAGGCUGGCGCUCCCUGCGGGCGAUGUCCACGGGUGAUCGUCAGGUGAUUAUCUCACCCUGCCCCUUCACUGGCCCCCCUGUACCUUCCCCCCUGCUCCCACUUCAAUUUAAAAACAUCCCCCCAGGAUGUGGUGUUUUUAAAUUGAAAACUUGCCACUAAAGGGGUUAAACCAUCUAUACCCUUGGGCAUUGGCUUUAGAUGACAUUGAAGAACUAGUAUUGUCAUUGUGACUGGUUGCAGCAGCUGCAGUGCUGCUCUUCUCUUGACUGAUCAUCGUGAUCCGUAUUGUUGAACACACUCAAGUUGUACAAAAUAAACUACAGUUUAAUAGUAUUAUUUAUUUACUUGAACCUUUUUAUUGAAAAUCACCACUCACUGUGGAGUCACAGUACUUAGUUAUUAUGGAUAUGCAGUGGGGUACAGACUGUGAAGUCACAGUACUUAUAUGUUAUGGAUAUGCAAUGGGGUAUGGCCUGUGAAGUCACAGUACUUGUAUGUUAUGGAUACACAGUAAUCACAGUACUUGUAUUAUAGAUA